UACUUUCAUUAAAGCUACCAUCUAAAAUCGCUUUUGACAGGGGGAGGGACUUUUAAGUAGGUCUAACCAAAAGCGAAAGUACAUAGUCAGACUCCGCGUCAGUAAGUUUGUCUUGUAGGCUAUCGAGAUCACUCAGUUUGUAGCCUAAGAUAGACUCUCCCACUGCUGCUAGGAUGAGUGUCUCUCAGGAGAGAGAGGAGGCUGCAGGUCACAGUGAGACACUCAGACCAGAGUCUGCAGCACACAGCUGUGUGC